rnacentral:sRNA from 1 species
GCUGGGCACAGUGGCCCACACCUGUGAUCCCAGGGACUUGGGAGGCUGAGGCAGGAGGAUCUCAGUUCAAAACCAGCCUCAGACAAAGUGAGGCCCUGAGCAACUCAGAGAGACCCUGUCUCUA